AGUGUGGCCACGUGCAAUCUGUUUUAAAAAACUGGUUUCUGUAAAAUCGGAAUAAUCCCAUAGUGUAGAUAUACCCCUAAUGUUUGAUCUAAAAGAAGGAUAAGAGCCUUAGUGCUACUGUGAUCUAAGGGACUUUCACCUUCAGCUCAAAUGCAAAAGAACUAGUGGUGGAGGUGCUUGAGCUGAAAUUACAAGUUCUAUUCCCUGUUCCAGAUAUAUGCGCUCUGUAAACACCUGUAAUAUUUUUAUGCAGCCACAGAUUGUUAUUGAUUGGCUGCUGGCUUAAGUUUUGAAUGGACCUCCAGAUACUUUGGUUUGUGCUGCCUUAGUGUGUACAUAUAGUGUUUUCUGUGUCCUGUGUUGACAUCUGCUGGAUGGAAUCAGACCUGAGGAAGUGUUUUUGUUUUGUGCUCUAGUCUAGUGAUUGGUUGUGACCAUCUGCUGCGGUUCCCAGAAUUGCGAGUUACUGUGUUAGCCUCCUCAGCCUCAGCAAGUGAAAGUUUUGCUACUGCUAAACUGUGUAACAAAUCCCUGACACACCAGUUUGUCUUUCUUGCUAGGAAACUCUUCAGGACUCUCAGUCCAAACCUUGACUGACCAGUAAUAAAACAGUAAAUCCCAACUCUUGAGUUCCCCAGAGAUGUCUCCAUGCAGUUUCUAGUCUCCCUUGCUGAACACUCACAGAAGUUUUAUGUUUGUUGCUCCUUGAAAGAGGCAGUACACUGCAGCCUAUUAGCUUAACUGGGGUUAACACACCCUUCCUUUCUAUCAGCGCACUGAUUUGUUGUAUAGUAAAAGUAAAACAAGUUUAUUAAACAAAAAUUCCUAGGUUUAAGGAUCAAGUAUAAGGAGUAAAGAUAGAAAGGAUUAUAAACAAAAGAAAAAUAUGCUUCUAUGACAUAAAAAACUUAAUUUCAGCAAGUUACAAUCUUUGCCUAAGCAGUUUUCACACCAAAAAUCAGUUCCCAGAGCCUUCAACCCCUUUGCUUGAAGGAUCCAACAUUUUGUGAUUUUCAAGAGCUGUGGUCCCUUUAAUCCCCCAAUUAAUUGGUACCAAAAUGGCUCUCCAUUUCUGCUUAUGUCUCCCAAAGUUCAUUGACCCUGUUACAAAAGGCAGGAAGGCUCCCUGCUGUUCUUCCCUUCUUGUUGACUUCCCAGCCCUCUGCUGAUUUGUAUGUAAAUGGGGGCUUCCAUUGUUUUGAUUCCAUAAUGCUUAAUUUACACUGGAGAUAGCUACUUUCCCGCCUGUCUGGGGAAGAACCUGUGUUUAGUUGGACUUUAAAGCAUAAUAUCAGUGAGCGCCCAUAAUUCUGCAUAUAGUGUCAAUACAUACAUUUCACAACGGUAUUAAAGCCUGUGACACACUGGAGAGUCAUAAAGACCUUACUCAGUACACUUCUAUCAUACAGUAAUAUUCUGUAUAAUCAGUUUGAUUCAAUAGCUUAUCACUUGAGGUUCAGAACCCCUGUCUUCUGUAGUCCACUAAAUCUUUGCAAUGUAUACUUUGAAAAAGUAACCCCAAACCACAUUUUUCUCUCCUGCUGGGGUGUAGACACCAUGCUGUCUUCCCAAAGUUCACUGACUGUGAUUCAAGAGGCAGAAGGCCUCCCUGAGGAUGCAAUCUCCAUAUCCCCCCCCCUUCCUCCCCCCCACGUCAAGACUGUUAAGUAUUCAUCUUUCUCCACUUGCUCUCCAGAUGGCUUUGUUUACCUUGCAUGUGAAUGUGCUUUUCUUUGUCUUUGGUCACACUCUGCCUAAUUUACAUUGGCGAUGCAUUCAAGGAGGUGGAACCAUAUUCCUUUGUCUAGAACAGACAUGGCUUUCUUAAGCCUUGUUUGCCAAAAUACAUUGUAAGAACAUGUUUACAGCACAUAGCCAUAAAAUCCUUUCUGGGUUUACCAUACAUACAUCACACAAUGAUUUUCAGGACCAGCACGUUACCAAUAUAUGAUCCCUUACAUGAUACCUUUUAGAUACAGAUUAUGACAACAGUAUUUUAGGUGUGGUGAGUAUGUCAGGCCUGACAAGAGUUGCUGGCACAGUGUAGUAAACCAACAAUGAGCCUUUGUGUCACACUGGUUUACAAAGAUGAGAGUAACCUCUUAAUUCAAGAGCGAAGGAAAGCACUCUUUAGUACAAGUGGUAUGUCUGCAUUCUCUGAAGUUUCCUCUCCGUAUUUGUACUACUGGGAUGAACCUCGAUUGCAGGAACCUUCUAGAGAGCAAGGCUUAUUGGGGGGUUUCAUGAGUAUACUCUUGCAGCCUUGAAAAUUUGGAGUACAGCUUAUAUAAAAGGAAUGCAGUUCCAAAAGCCUCAGUCCUUUUCUGUGGCUAGCUGCAGGUGUAAGGACAUUCUCUCCGGGUCUAGAAAGGUGUCUUUAAUUCAGAGCUCCACUACAAUUGUUAAAUGUCAGUAUAAUUAGUAAAUGUUAGGAGCUUGCACCAUUGCACACUUAGUUUUUUACCUGAACCAGAGUCCUUAGAACUUGUGGCCAGGCUUAUCCAAACACCUGGAUAAGAAGGUAUGGAUUUUUAACAGUGUGUGUCACCCCCUUCAUGUUCAUAGAGAUGGAAGUGCAUUCCCAUUGUCUGCUCUGCAUGAGAGGAGCCCAUUCCUCAGAACACCACCAGGCAUGUAGGACCUUCACACCUCAGCUUACACUGAUAAGAAGCAAAGUCUCUUUGCCUUACUCGGGGAGGAAACCUAACAAGUCCAGUUCCUGGAUUAGACUGCACAUCAGUGGCCUACACUGUUAACAUCAGAAAACCCACUGGAAAGCUGAAAGAGAUAAGGUUUCCUUUUAAACUGUUACUAAAGAACACGGAAGUCACUGGAGGUUGUAGGAGCUCAGGUCCCAAGAUGCAGCAAAUCUGACUUAAGGUCUGCUCCUGGAGUACUUCUCCCUGGGACUUCAGUUUGGGGCGAUGAGCUGUGGAUGCAUAACUUCUGGAUGUGCAAGGUCACACUGCUGGAUCUGCGUCCUGAGCUUACUUCAGCACCGGGGCACCAAAAUGAGAGCUGUACUGACAAUGGAGAAAUGCGGUCAAAUGUAUGGGACCAAGGAUUAGUCUGUUAAAAUCUUAGCCUCGUCAUUUUGAAAAAUCUUCAGUGGCUCAUUUCAGAUUCAUCUGAGGUAAUAGAGCCUCUUGGUGAAGCAACUUUUUGGUGCUGACUCUUGUCCUUUUGGGUAAUGAAGUUCAGGAGAUCCAGGGCCGUCACCACUCCAAACACCAUCUGUUUCUUGGCGUAACUGCCAUCUCCAAUGUCUGUAAGCACACAACGAAGUACAUUACUGAGUUAUCUGACAAAGCAGUCCAGAAAUGGCUGUGAUUUUAUAAAGAUAAGACCUCAAACUGGCCAGCGUCAUCCCUGCUAUGAUGCUACUGAAAGGGAUUCCAGGCGCAAUCCCACAGCAGUCAAUCAGGUUACAUCAGGGAUGUAUUGGGCAACAGUGCAUUCUUUACCACUACAAGGAGUAUAAUUUGUCACUUGACCUUAUGAGACUUUUGUUCCAAUGACUCCUGCCCUCCCCAUCCCAAAUCAACAAUAAUCUUUAACAGCAGCAGUGAUAACUGUAUUUAUAAACAACCCUUGGCCCCCCACUGCAGCUGACAUAGUGCUGUACCACACCACCACCAAACAAUAUAAAGUGCAAUAAAGUAUAACUUUUUAAAACACGUCCUCUUAAAAGCAAACAAAUAAAAAGCAGGUGAGGGUGCCUAAAUCAAAGAAUGAAAUACG